rnacentral:rRNA from 1 species
AGUUUGAUCCUGGCUCAGAACGAACGCUGGCGGCAGGCUUAACACAUGCAAGUCGAACGCAUCGCAAGAUGAGUGGCAGACGGGUGAGUAACGCGUGGGAACAUACCCUUUUCUACGGAAUAGCUCUGGGAAACUGGAAUUAAUACCGCAUACGCCCUACGGGGGAAAGAUUUAUCGGGGAUGGAUGAGCCCGCGUUGGAUUAGCUAGUUGGUGGGGUAAAAGCCUACCAAGGCGACGAUCCAUAGCUGGUCUGAGAGGAUGAUCAGCCACAUUGGGACUGAGGCACGGCCCAAACUCCUACGGGAGGCAGCAGUGGGGAAUAUUGGACAAUGGGCGCAAGCCUGAUCCAGCCAUGCCGCGUGAGUGAUGAAGGCCUUAGGGUUGUAAAGCUCUUUUACCCGGGAUGAUAAUGACAGUACCGGGAGAAUAAGCUCCGGCUAACUCCGUGCCAGCAGCCGCGGUAA